AGCUCCAAUAGGAUAUAUCAAAGUUGUUGCAGUUGAAAAGCUCGUAGUCGUAUUUCUGGUGGGUUGAUGCCUCGCCGCCUUGCUUGACGAAAGUCAGGUGGGCUCGGGGCCGCCUGCCAUUUUGUGGGCCCACGUGGCCGAUCUGCGGUUCACUCCGCGGGUCGGUUGCGCCACUCCGUCACUGAGAGCAAAUUGGAGUGCUCAAAGCAGGCUUUACAGCUUUGAACAUUAUAGCUUGGAAUGACAAAGGAUGACUUUUUGUUCACUUUGUUGGUUAUGAAUAAGAAGUAAUGAUAAAUAGGAACAGUUGCGGGGGUACUCGUACUGGAAAGUCAGAGGUGAAAUUCUUGGAUUUUUCCACGACGAACGACUGCGAAAGCAUUUAUCAAGGAUGUUUUCA
rnacentral:rRNA from 1 species